rnacentral:rRNA from 1 species
GCGGCCGCUCCGUUUGAUCCCGGCAGAGGCCACUGCUAUCGGAGUUCGAUUAAGCCAUGCGGGUCGAGAGGUGCAAGACCUCGGCAUACUGCUCAGUAACACGUGGACAACCUACCCUAUGGAGGGGGAUAACCCCGGGAAACUGGGGAUAAUACCCCAUAGACUAUGAAUGCUGGAAUGCUUUGUAGUUGAAAGGUCCGCCGCCAUAGGAUGGGUCUGCGGCCGAUUAGGUUGUUGUUGGGGUAACGGCCCAACAAGCCUGUAAUCGGUACGGGUUGUGGGAGCAAGAGCCCGGAGAUGGAUUCUGAGACACGAAUUCAGGCCCUACGGGGCGCAGCAGGCGCGGAAACUUUACAAUGCGGGAAACCGUGAUAAGGGAACUCCGAGUGCUCGUAAAAUCGGGCUGUCCAUCUGUUUAAAUAACAGGUGAAGAAAGGGCCGGGCAAGACCGGUGCCAGCCGCCGCGGUAAUACCGGCGGCUCGAGUGGUGGCCACUAUUACAGGGCUUAAAGCGUUCGUAGCUGGUCUGUUAAGUCUCUGGGGAAAUCUACUGGCUUAACCAAUAGGCGUUUCAGGGAUACUGGCAGACUAGGGACCGGGAGAGGUGAGGGGUACUCCAGGGGUAGGAGUGAAAUCCUGUGAUCCUUGGGGGACCACCUGUGGCGAAGGCGCCUCACCAGAACGGCUCCGACAGUGAGGGACGAAAGCUGGGGGAGCAAACCGGAUUAGAUACCCGGGUAGUCCCAGCCGUAAACGAUGCGCGUUAGGUGUAUCGGUGACCACGAGUCACCGAGGUGCCGAAGAGAAAUCGUGAAACGUGCCGCCUGGGAAGUACGGUCGCAAGGCUGAAACUUAAAGGAAUUGGCGGGGGAGCACCACAACAGGUGGAGCCUGCGGUUUAAUCGGACUCAACGCCGGAAAUCUCACCGGAUAAGACAGCUGUAUGAUAGUCGGGCUGGAGACUCUACUUGACUAGCUGAGAGGAGGUGCAUGGCCGUCGUCAGUUCGUACUGUGAAGCAUCCUGUUAAGUCAGGCAACGAGCGAGACCC